ACAGCAGCAGCCGCGGUAAUACAGAGGGUGCGAGCGUUAAUCGGAUUUACUGGGCGUAAAGCGUGCGUAGGCGGCUAAUUGAGUCGGAUGUGAAAUCCCCGAGCUUAACUUGGGAAUUGCAUUCGAUACUGGUUAGCUAGAGUGUGGGAGAGGAUGGUAGAAUUCCAGGUGUAGCGGUGAAAUGCGUAGAGAUCUGGAGUAAUACCGAUGGCGAAGGCAGCCAUCUGGCCUAACACUGACGCUGAGGUACGAAAGCAUGGGGAGCAAACAGGAUUAGAUACCCCCGUAGUCCCUGUCUCUUAUAA
rnacentral:rRNA from 1 species